CUUGACAUAUGCAACAUAUACGAAUUUGGCAUUAUCAAUCAUGACAUUGCUUUUUUUUCAUGCAAAACUUGUCAAUGAUGACAUUGAAUUCGUUCUCACCAAACCUCCUUGUUAUGGCAAGAGGUAAUUUGCAUUCAGCCAGCUGCUCUGAGUCCCCAGUGGCUCUCUCUCUUCGUGACAUACCUGCCAUCAUCAAGUACUUCUCUUUCUUGUUUCUCAUAUUCUUGAUAAAAUAACACGUCAACAUGCAGCAUGUUUCUGAUACAAUUAGCAAACACAAAAUCUGACAAAUUUGCAUGCUAAGGUCAGCUUUCAUGCCUCAAACUGAAACAAAACUCUGUCGUACAUCUUCACAAAAAGCUCUUCGAGGAUGAAAAUUACCACCAGUAAAACCAACAGAAGAUUUUAGUAAAUAGAUUGCAGAGAGGGGAGCUUGCAGCAGGACAUUUAAGCAGGCUGAUUCGGGUGCGGUGGAGCUGGUAGAAGUGGCCAGGGAGUAAUAUUGGGGAAACACCAGGGUUGACAUUGUAAUACAACCAUUUAUGGGAAAAUCCCAAAUUCCAAUUUCGAAGUCGUCAAUGUACCAGAAAAAUGAACACUCCACGGACUCGGAGGGACGCCUCGGAAAUUGGACCGUUUCUAUUUAAUUUUGAUUUCGACUUCUUAGAUUCACUGACGGAAGCUCAUGAGGAUGCCAUUUUAUGCUCAUAAGAAAGGGUACAAGGAGGGCGUUUUGGUCCAAGUACAAUCCUUUCGAACCUAAUGGUCAUGUGCCAUGGAAGUAAAAAUCUAGCUUUUGGGGCUUGGAAAACUUUAAUGACGCCACCUGCCACACUGCUACAGGUGCAGAAAUGGUCGCUCGCUGCACCUUCUACUCACUGGUCAUACCACUAAACCUGCCAGGGGAGGGCGGAAUCCCUGUCCACAGGAUCAAACCCCGUGUUAACAUCGGACGGCUUUCAAGAACCCAUGCGCAUUUUCUACAGUUUUGCCAGCCAUUUUCCAAGCAAGAAUGGGUGAUUGGUUGGGUGGCGGAGGAAGUCAAACGAGUAAAGAGAAAGGCUCCCGCAAACUGGGUCUGACCUCAUUUUUGUCGUGGUUAGGGACCGAGGUCGAGCCUCAUUGUUCAUCUUUCGAAUUGUUCGAACAUAUCUAGUUACUAUCGCUUUCCCAUCCGAAUAAACUUGACCAUCUUUUUCUCUA